rfam:Ipomoea nil DNA, scaffold: scaffold3322, cultivar: Tokyo-kokei standard.
GCCUUCUUAGCUCAGUGGUAGAGCGCGUGGCUUUUAACCACGUGGUUGUGGGUUUGAUCCCCACAUACGGUG